rnacentral:rRNA from 1 species
AACGAACGCUGGCGGCAUGCCUAACACAUGCAAGUCGAACGAAGGCUUCGGCCUUAGUGGCGCACGGGUGCGUAACGCGUGGGAAUCUGCCCUUUGGUUCGGAAUAACAGCUGGAAACGGCUGCUAAUACCGGAUGAUGACGAAAGUCCAAAGAUUUAUCGCCAGAGGAUGAGCCCGCGUUGGAUUAGGUAGUUGGUGGGGUAAAGGCCUACCAAGCCGACGAUCCAUAGCUGGUCUGAGAGGAUGAUCAGCCACACUGGGACUGAGACACGGCCCAGACUCCUACGGGAAGCAGCAGUGGGGAAUAUUGUACAAUGGGCGCAAGCCUGAUCCAGCAAUGCCGCGUGAGUGAUGAAGGCCCUAGGGUUGUAAAGCUCUUUUACCCGGGAAGAUAAUGACUGUACCGGGAGAAUAAGCCCCGGCUAACUCCGUG